rnacentral:rRNA from 1 species
GCACUUCGGUGUGAGUAGAGCGGCGGACGGGUGAGUAAUGCUUGGGAAUCUACCUAGUAGUGGGGGACAACGUGUGGAAACGCACGCUAAUACCGCAUACGUCCUACGGGAGAAAGCAGGGGACCUUCGGGCCUUGCGCUAUUAGAUGAGCCCAAGUCGGAUUAGCUAGUUGGUGGGGUAAUGGCUCACCAAGGCUACGAUCCGUAGCUGGUCUGAGAGGAUGAUCAGCCACACUGGGACUGAGACACGGCCCAGACUCCUACGGGAGGCAGCAGUGGGGAAUAUUGCACAAUGGGCGAAAGCCUGAUGCAGCCAUGCCGCGUGAGUGAAGAAGGCCUUUGGGUUGUAAAGCUCUUUCGUCGGGGAAGAAAAUGACUGUACCCGAAUAAGAAGGUCCGGCUAACUUCGUGCCAGCAGCCGCGGUAAUACGAAGGGACCUAGCGUAGCUCGGAAUUACUGGGCUUAAAGAGUUCGUAGGUGGUUGAAAAAGUUGGUGGUGAAAUCCC